UACGUAGGGUGCGAGCGUUGUCCGGAAUUACUGGGCGUAAAGAGCUCGUAGGUGGUUUGUCGCGUUGUUCGUGAAAACUCACAACUCAAUUGUGGGCGUGCGGGCGAUACGGGCAGACUGGAGUACUGCAGGGGAGACUGGAAUUCCUGGUGUAGCGGUGAAAUGCGCAGAUAUCAGGAGGAACACCGGUGGCGAAGGCGGGACUCUGGGCCGAUACUGACGCUGAGGAGCGAAAGCGUGGGGAGCAAACAGG
rnacentral:rRNA from 1 species